CCCGCAACCAGAGCAUUCUCUUUUUCCUUCUUGUUCGUUCCCCGGCUCAUCCCCGAAUGCUGCUUACCUCGUUUGAAAUUUGCGCCGGAGAUCCACUCCGCCUCCCAGGUGCCCCGCUGCCAAUCACAUAACAAAAGGGGCGGCUCCAUUCGCACCCCGCUCACCCAAUCGCGCUCAGCUUGGAUUUUCACGAUCCCCCCGCUCAGGUUAAGACUGGCGUCCUCUCUCACAAGCCGUCUGACUUCCGACGCGUGGACAACUACCUCCACUCAGACUGAAUCCACAAAUAAUACCCCGGUCUCCAGACCACUUCAACAGCUGCCUCCACUCAGAGCGAAUCCACAAUAUUACCCCGGUCUCCAGACGACUUCGACAAUUGGCGGCACUUUUACCUGGGUGCAUAUCAAUCGACUCUGAAAUAAGCCUGCUUGAUUCUUCUCUUUUGGAUCAUCUCGAUCAAAUCGACAUAUCGGAUUUGGAUAACUAUGUUUUUUCGAGUUCACCUAGUUCUUCGCCCAGUUCUUCACCACCACCGGUUUUAGAGCGAGCUACAGGCAAGAACAUCCGUCUCUCGACCCGCGAGAGACAGGCUUUGCUUUCUGCAAGGGCUUGCCCAGCUUCAUCCACCUCUGCCGGCGCUUCAGCUCCACCGUGCCCCGGGGGGAAAAACCUGAAUCUAACCGCCCGGGAGAGGGAACAACUGUUCGCGGCACACGCUCCAGUCCUGGCUUCGGAGCUUCAGCUCCCCAGCGUGCCUCGGGGAAAAACCUGAAUCUAACCGCCCGGGAGAGGGAACAACUGUUCGCGGCACAUGCUCCCAGUCCCGGCUUCGGAGCUUCAGCUCCCCAGCGUGCCUCGGGGAAAAACCUGAAUCUAACCGCCCGGGAGAGGGAACAACUGUUCGCGGCACACGCUCCCAGUCCCGGCUUCGGAGCUUCUCCUCCUGCAUCGGGGCCAAGACAUCCACAGCCCCUGCCUCGGAGAUCCAAUCUAGGGCAUCUCAGAAGGAGGCGUAGGAGGACCAUUAGGCCACUCAGGACAAGGCAAACACGCAGACAGCGAAACCAGCUCGCCUCCAUCGCUCUUCGAGCUGUAUCACUGUUCGCUGAAUUAGUACAACUCAUCUUAUAAUAAGGUUUUAUUUUAUUUUAUUGUUUUUAUUU